ACGCAAGUGUAUGUCUACUGUCCGCGAGGCACGUGGCCUUGUCAGCCGUUGCUUGUGUGGCAUGCGCCGGUGAUGUAUUCCUUACCAAAGAACAUUGUGCUAUCAGUCAGUCAGUUUCGCUGUGUUGAAAUCUCUUGCAGUUUUGUGUCAAAGACAAAUUGCCAACCUCUCGUGUUUCCAAAACAGUGAGAGUAUGCAGGCAUCAAUAUUUUAAAAUCAACCAUGUAGUCUCACAAUGUUUAUAAAUAAAAAGACAAAUCACAGCAUUACAUCCACCACUCCUAGAUGGCGGCUGGUAACUAUACAAGGAUUUAAGCUUCGGAUUCAUUCCCCUCUGGAUUGUUCAGUCAUAUCAAAAAUCAAAUUGAGUAUAAAUACUCUCUGGAAACUCAAUGAAAUGGCAGAUGGCAGCUACUGAAUAACGGACACUAUUCAUUUGAUAGUGAGCACCAAAAACAGUGCUAUGUAACUGACUCAGAAUAGUAGUUGUGACUAAGCCAGGGCUAUCAUCACAGCAACCCAGAAGACAGCCAUCUUUAGACUCACCGCCAUGAAAACCUCAAAUCCUACUUAUCAUAAGUCCUCAGGUGACUAGUUACCUGGAAAAUUUCUAUAAUUUACACUGAAGCUUAAUGGGCUUAAAACACAAACUGAGUAUGCAGAAUGAACAUUAAAUUGUAGAAUAUUUUGUAAACGGAAAAACAUCUGAAUAAAGUGCAUUAUGAUACUAAAAGUAUGCAACAA